AUGUAGCUGCCACCUAGAGAUGAAGCCCUGCUAGAAAAAUCUUUCCACAGCAGUCGGCCUCGUAGGUAGCUGGGGACCUGAAUACAAUGCCUUUGUCAUCUGUUACUUUAUCUCUCAGAUGCACCUGCUGACUUGCGGUUGUGGACUAUUGCACAGUUGAGUGACCAGCACAGUUCAAAGAUGACUUUAGCACAUACGGAAGUGGUCUGAAACUAAAGAUUAUCUUCUCGCCAACAGUGUUUGUGGUCUUUAGUGUUAUUAUAUGGCUAUAAUCUUCCUUUAAAACGUGACCGAGAUCCAUCUGGAGUAUUCGGAGGAGGCGAUUCAAGUUCUUGAAAAAUCAGCCAUAGGGUGACCGGCUGUAAAAGAACAGAAAACAGACAAUUGUUUUAAGUGGUUGUGGUUCUUCCAGCAGGACAACGACCCCAAACACACAUCAAGAAGCACGGAAUGGUUAAAAAGAAGAACUCUGAGGGUGCCAAUAUAUUUGGCCAGAACUGUAUUUGAAAAUAAUAGUUAUUCAAAGUUGGGAUAUUUUUUUUUUUUUACAUAUUGGCCUUAUCCAUCCUCUGCCAUAUUCCAAAGCAUACUGCUCUGUUUGGUUUUGAUCACUUGUGGGGUUUUUUCUUAAUGUGAAACAAAUGUCUGCAUGGACUGACUCUGAAUACACUGCGACCUGGUAACAUAUUUGCAAUGUAAAGGUAGAUGUUCAUGAGGGAUCACGAAUGGUAACUGUUGAGUCCAUCUAUGGAACUGACUUCCUGAUCAUUUCAAGAGUCUGCAAGAUUGUAAUGAAUUUAACAGUGCUGCUAACAGGGUGGUGAAUGGUGCAUGCCAUUCUCUUUAGUAAGUGGAUGUAUUAAAAAACAUAGGUAGCGCUUUACAUAACACAGAAUGAAGUGGUAAUAGAAUGGUAAUAAGUUCUAGUUAUCAAACAUUAUUUACUCGGAUACCCCUUCAUUUCAUUGUAAUUAUAUUGUUGAAGGGCAGUACACCACAUCCUUUGUGCCAUAAUAUAGACAACUUACUUGAUCCAUAAAUCCAAUAUCUCCUCUUUAGUAAGUUUGAUCAUAUGCAUGUUCUUACACAGCUAGCCUCUAGAGGGUAGCAUUGGACAAUUGUACAGUAAACAGGCUUUAAAUGAGAGGAUGAAAGUGUUGUGUUUGAUGCCUCUGAUCUUUUAAAUAGCAAGUGGUAUCAAUGGGUAAAUCUCAUCCUAUAGAUGUGCAAGCAAUGCGUUAUGCUACAUUCAACAGUAAUAAAUGAGUCACUGAACAUUUGUGAUUCUCUGUCAUGUUUCUGUCUUUCUUCAACUGUGCCAUUCUCUGAAUACUAAGAAACAGACAGUGAGCUCCAUAUAGUAACAGGGAUACUGUUUGAUCUUCAUGAUUGAAAAAGCAGGGUAUCCCUAAACUAGAACAAAGAUGGGGGUUAAUUCAGGGCACAGUGUUUUAUUGAGGACUGUAGCUCACUGGUCAUUUCUCAAUACACCUGCCACAAUAGAUGUCACGAUUAUGAUGCUGGCCGGAAGGCAUGCAUUGUUGUUGUUCUGAACAGUCAGAUAGCUAGCAACAAGACAAGCUGCCAUGUGAGGAAUCGUAGGUGGCUCGUUGUAUCUUCUUAUUGAUACCAUUGUCACGACUUACGCCGUAGUCGGUCCCUCUCCUUGUUCGGGCGGCGUUCGGUGGUCGACGUCACCGGCCUUCUAGCCAUUGCCGAUCCACUUUUUAUUUUCCAUUUGUUUUGUCUUUGUCUUACGCACCUGGUUUCAAUUCCCAAUUACUUGUUCAUUAUUUAACCCUCUGUUCCCCCAUGUUUGUUUGUGAGUGAUUGUUUUUAUGUAAUAUGGUCCGCUUAUGUGGGCUCGCUUAUUUGGUAUUGUCUUUGUCUAUUUUGAGUAAAA